rnacentral:rRNA from 1 species
AUUGAACGCUGGCGGCAUGCCUUACACAUGCAAGUCGAACGGUAACAGGUCUUCGGAUGCUGACGAGUGGCGAACGGGUGAGUAAUACAUCGGAACGUGCCCGAUCGUGGGGGAUAACGAGGCGAAAGCUUUGCUAAUACCGCAUACGAUCUACGGAUGAAAGCGGGGGAACUUCGGACCUCGCGCGGACGGACCGGCCGAUGGCAGAUUAGGUAGUUGGUGGGAUAAAAGCUGACCAAGCCGACGAUCUGUAGCUGGUCUGAGAGGAUGAUCAGCCACACUGGGACUGAGACACGGCCCAGACUCCUACGGGAGGCAGCAGUGGGGAAUUUUGGACAAUGGGCGAAAGCCUGAUCCAGCCAUGCCGCGUGCAGGAUGAAGGCCUUCGGGUUGUAAACUGCUUUUGUACGGAACGAAAAGCCUCUUUCUAAUAAAGAGGGGUCAUGACGGUACCGGAAGAAUAAGCACCGGCUAACUACGUG